rnacentral:tRNA from 1 species
GGGGGUAUAGCUCAGUGGUAGAGCAUUUGACUGCAGAUCAAGAGGUCCCUGGUUCAACCCCUGGAGCCCCCU